UACGUAGGGCGCAAGCGUUGUCCGGAAUUAUUGGGCGUAAAGAGCUCGUAGGCGGCCUUGCAAGUCGGUUGGUGAAAGCCCGGGGCUCAACCCCGGAGGUGCGGCCGAGACUGCAGGGCUGGAGGCCGGAAGAGGAGGGUGGAAUACCCAGUGUAGAGGUGAAAUUCGUAGAUAUUGGGUGGAACACCGGUGGCGAAAGCGGCUCUCUGGUCCGGACCUGACGCUGAGGCGCGAAAGCGUGGGGAGCAAACAGG
rnacentral:rRNA from 1 species